rnacentral:rRNA from 1 species
UGAGGAAUAUUGGUCAAUGGACGCAAGUCUGAACCAGCCAUGCCGCGUGAAGGAUGAAGGCCUUCUGGGUUGUAAACUUCUUUUAUCUGGGAAGAAAACUACGGUUUCUACUGUAGCCGACGGUACCAGAGGAAUAAGCACCGGCUAACUCCGUGCCAGCAGCCGCGGUAAUACGGAGGGUGCAAGCGUUAUCCGGAUUUACUGGGUUUAAAGGGUGUGUAGGCGGGUCUUUAAGUCAGUGGUGAAAUCUCCGGGCUUAACUUAGAAACUGCCAUUGAUACUGUUGGUCUUGAAUUCUGUUGAGGUUGGCGGAAUAAGUCAUGUAGCGGUGAAAUGCGUAGAUAUGACUUAGAACACCGAUUGCGAAGGCAGCUAACUAAGCAGAUAUUGACGCUGAGGCACGAAAGCGUGGGGAUCAAACAGG